AUUGAACGCUAGCGGGAGGCUUUACACAUGCAAGUCGAGCGAGUGGCGGACGGGUGAGUAAUGUAUGGGGACCUGCCCGGUAGAGGGGGAUAACUACUGGAAACGGUGGCUAAUACCGCAUACUAUCGGAUGAGCCGAUAUGGGAUUAGCUAGUAGGUGGGGUAAAGGCUCACCAAGGCAACGAUCCAUAGCUGGUUUGAGAGGACGACCAGCCACACUGGGACUGAGACACGGCCCAGACUCCUACGGGAGGCAGCAGUGGGGAAUCUUGGACAAUGGGCGAAACCCUGAUCCAGCCAUCCCGCGUGUAUGAGAAGGCCUUCGGGUUGUAAAGUACUUUUGGCAGAGAAGCGUUAUCUACAGAAUAAGCACCGGCUAACUACGUGCCAGCAGCCGCGGUAAUAC
rnacentral:rRNA from 1 species